rnacentral:rRNA from 1 species
AAGUCGAACGAUGAAAGCUUCCUUCGGGAAGUGAGUAGAGUGGCGCACGGGUGAGUAACACGUGGAUAAUCUACCCGAUGAUCCGGGAUAACACUUCGAAAGGGGUGCUAAUACCGGGUAAGCCCACGGGCUCUUUGGAGCUUGCGGGAAAAGGUGGGGACCUUCGGGCCUACUGUCAUCGGAUGAGUCCGCGGCCCAUUAGCUAGUUGGUGGGGUAAUGGCCCACCAAGGCGACGAUGGGUAGCUGGUCUGAGAGGAUGAUCAGCCACACUGGAACUGAGACACGGUCCAGACUCCUACGGGAGGCAGCAGUGGGGAAUUUCUGCGCAAUGGGGGCAACCCUGACGCAGCAACGCCGCGUGAGUGAUGAAGGCUUUCGGGUCGUAAAGCUCUGUCCGAGGGGAAGAACCUCUCAAAGGAUCAUACCCUUCGAGACUGACGGUCCCUCCAAGGAAGCCCCCGGCUAACUCCGUGCCCCACCGCCCCGGGCAAUACCGGANGGGUGCCGAGCCGGUUG